AUCUCAGUAGCAUAGUGGUUAGCGCACAGCCCCACAAAGGUUGAGACGCGGGUUCGAAUCGCACCUGAGAUG
rnacentral:tRNA from 1 species